rnacentral:rRNA from 1 species
CAGUCGCCACGGUAAUACGAAGGGGGCUAGCGUUGUUCGGAAUUACUGGGCGUAAAGCGCACGUAGGCGGAUAUUUAAGUCAGGGGUGAAAUCCCAGAGCUCAACUCUGGAACUGCCUUUGAUACUGGGUAUCUUGAGUAUGGAAGAGGUUAGUGGAAUUGCGAGUGUAGAGGUGAAAUUCGUAGAUAUUCGCAGGAACACCAGUGGCGAAGGCGGCUAACUGGUCCAUAACUGACGCUGAGGUGCGAAAGCGUGGGGAGCAAACAGGAUUAGAUACCCGGGUAGUCCCUGUCUCUUAUAC